rnacentral:tRNA from 1 species
CUGGUAAAAAGAAGACUUGAACUUCCGUUAACAGAUUUACAGUCUGCCGCCUACCCUCUCGGCCACUUUACCU